GAUGAACGCUGGCGGCGUGCCUAAUACAUGCAAGUCGAGCGAACAGAUGAGGAGCUUGCUCCUCUGACGUUAGCGGCGGACGGGUGAGUAACACGUGGAUAACCUACCUAUAAGACUGGGAUAACUUCGGGAAACCGGAGCUAAUACCGGAUAAUAUAUUGAACCGCAUGGUUCAAUAGUGAAAGACGGUUUUGCUGUCACUUAUAGAUGGAUCCGCGCCGCAUUAGCUAGUUGGUAAGGUAACGGCUUACCAAGGCAACGAUGCGUAGCCGAACUGAGAGGGUCAUCGCCCACCCUGGAACUGAGACACGGUCCAGACUCCUACGGGAGGCAGCAGUAGGGAAUCUUCCGCAAUGGGCGAAAGCCUGACGGAGCAACGCCGCGUGAGUGAUGAAGGUCUUCAGAUCGUAAAACUCUGUUAUUAGGGAAGAACAAAUGUGUAAGUAACUAUGCACGUCUUGACGGUACCUAAUCAGAAAGCCACGGCUAACUACGUG
rnacentral:rRNA from 1 species